AUGUACCCACCCGGUUCCUGUGCGCCGUCCACGCCCACCUGACGACCGCUCGCUACGUUUUGUUAGCC
rnacentral:sRNA from 1 species